rnacentral:rRNA from 1 species
GAUGAACGCUAGCGGCAGGCCUAAUACAUGCAAGGCGAGGGGUUCGCAAGGACACCGUCGUACGGGUGCGUAACGCGUAUGCAACCUACCUAUCACAGGGGGAUAGCCUUUGGAAACAGGGAUUAAUACCGCAUAAAGCAGGGGCUUGGCAUCAAGAUACUGCUAAAGAUUUAUCGGUGAUAGAUGGGCAUGCGUCUGAUUAGUUAGUUGGCAGGGUAACGGCCUACCAAGACGAUGAUCAGUAGGGGCGUCAGAGCGUGGUCCCCCACACUGGCACUGAGAUACGGGCCAGACUCCUACGGGAGGCAGCAGUAGGGAAUAUUGGGCAAUGGGUGCAAGCCUGACCCAGCCAUGCCGCGUGGAGGAAGAAGGUCCUCUGGAUUGUAAACUCCUUUUGUCGGGGAAGAAGAGUCAUCUUGCGAGGUGAUGUGACGGUACCCGAUGAAUAAGCCACGGCUAACUACGUGCCAGCAGC